rnacentral:rRNA from 1 species
AUACGGGGCUUAAAGUCUUGUAAUUGGAAUGAUGGGAAUUUAAACCUCUUCCAGAGUAUCAAUUGGAGGGCAAGUCUGGUGCCAGCAGCCGCGGUAAUUCCAGCUCCAAUAGCGUAUAUUAAAAUUGUUGCAGUUAAAAAGCUCGUAGUUGAAUUUCUGCUGUAUUGCAUUUUCUCUUUUUAUAUGAGUUUUUGCAUUAUGGCUUAUUUCAGUAUUAAUUUUUUAUUAUUACUGAAUGUUUACUUUGAGAAAAUUAGAGUGCUCAAAGCAGGCUUUUGCCUUGAAUAGUUUAGCAUGGAAUAAUAAAGUAGGACUUUGGUUCUAUUUUGUUGGUUUU